rnacentral:rRNA from 1 species
CGAUUACGGCUCAGUAACACGUAGCUAACCUACCCUUAGGACGUGGAUACCCCCGAGAAAUUGGGGUUAAUCCGCGAUAGAUGUAAUGUCCUGGAAUGGUAUUACGUCUAAAGGUAUUUCAUACAUGUUUGAAAUAUGCCUAAGGAUGGGGCUGCGGCCGAUCAGGCUGUUGGUGAGGUAAUGGCUCACCAAACCUUUGACCGGUACGGGCCAUGAGAGUGGUAGCCCGGAGAUGGACACUGAGACAAGGGUCCAGGCCCUAAGGGGCGCAGCAACCGCGAAACCUCCACAAUGCACUCACGUGCGAUGGGGCUAUCUCGAGUGCCACCUGAUGAAGGUGGCUUUUCCUAGGUCUUCAAAGCCUUGGGAAUAAGAGGGGGGCAAGACUGGUGUCAGCCGCCGCGGUAACACCAGCCCCUCGAGUGGUGGGGAUGAUUAUUUGGCCUAAAGCGUCCGUAGCCGGCCGAGCAAGUCUUCCGUUAAAUCCAGCGUCUCAAGCGUUGGACCGCGGGAGAUACUACACGGCUAGAGAGUGGGAGAGGUUAGCGGUAUUCUGGGGGUAGGGGCGAAAUCCUUUGAUCCCCGGAGGACCACCAGUGGCGAAGGCUG